CAGCCGCCGCGGUAAUACGAAGGGUGCAAGCGUUACUCGGAAUUACUGGGCGUAAAGCGUGCGUAGGUGGUGGUUUAAGUCCGUUGUGAAAGCCCUGGGCUCAACCUGGGAAUUGCAGUGGAUACUGGGUCACUAGAGUGUGGUAGAGGAUAGUGGAAUUUCCGGUGUAGCAGUGAAAUGCGUAGAGAUCGGAAGGAACAUCUGUGGCGAAGGCGACUAUCUGGGCCAACACUGACACUGAGGCACGAAAUCGUGGGGAGCAAACAGGAUUAGAUACCCCUGUAGUCCCUGUCUCUUAUAC
rnacentral:rRNA from 1 species